rnacentral:rRNA from 1 species
UAACACAUGCAAGUCGAACGGUAACAGGAAGCAGCUUGCUGCUUUGCUGACGAGUGGCGGACGGGUGAGUAAUGUCUGGGAAACUGCCUGAUGGAGGGGGAUAACUACUGGAAACGGUAGCUAAUACCGCAUAACGUCUUCGGACCAAAGAGGGGGACCUUCGGGCCUCUUGCCAUCAGAUGUGCCCAGAUGGGAUUAGCUAGUAGGUGGGGUAAUGGCUCACCUAGGCGACGAUCCCUAGCUGGUCUGAGAGGAUGACCAGCCACACUGGAACUGAGACACGGUCCAGACUCCUACGGGAGGCAGCAGUGGGGAAUAUUGCACAAUGGGCGCAAGCCUGAUGCAGCCAUGCCGCGUGUAUGAAGAAGGCCUUCGGGUUGUAAAGUACUUUCAGCGAGGAGGAAGGCGUUAAGGUUAAUAACCUUAGCGAUUGACGUUACUCGCAGAAGAAGCACCGGCUAACUCCGUGCCAGCAGCCGCGGUAAUACGGAGGGUGCAAGCGUUAAUCGGAAUUACUGGGCGUAAAGCGCACGCAGGCGGUCUGUCAAGUCGGAUGUGAAAUCCCCGGGCUCAACCUGGGAACUGCAUUCGAAACUGACAGGCUAGAGUCUUGUAGAGGGGGGUAGAAUUCCAGGUGUAGCGGUGAAAUGCGUAGAGAUCUGGAGGAAUACCGGUGGCGAAGGCGGCCCCCUGGACAAA